CGUGAAUUAAAUUGUAGUGUAUUUGUUUAGAAUAUCCUCUUUUUUAGUUAUGAAUUUGUUACAAAUAUUAAGUGCAAAAGCACACGGAGGUUUUCUAUAUGAAUAACGGUACAGUAAAAUGGUUUAACGCAGAAAAAGGUUUUGGUUUCAUCGAACAAGAAAAUGGCGGAGACGUAUUCGUACAUUUCUCAGGUAUCGCUAGCGAUGGCUACAAAACUUUAGAAGAAGGUCAAAAAGUUACUUUCGAAAUCACUGAAGGUCAACGUGGAGACCAAGCAGUUAACGUACAAACUGUUUAAUCUUACAACAUAAAACGACUCAUUAUAAAUGAAUCGCUUUGA
rnacentral:misc_RNA from 1 species